rnacentral:rRNA from 1 species
GAUGAACGCUGGCGGCGUGCCUAAUACAUGCAAGUCGAGCGAACGGACGAGAAGCUUGCUUCUCUGAUGUUAGCGGCGGACGGGUGAGUAACACGUGGAUAACCUACCUAUAAGACUGGGAUAACUUCGGGAAACCGGAGCUAAUACCGGAUAAUAUUUUGAACCGCAUGGUUCAAAAGUGAAAGACGGUCUUGCUGUCACUUAUAGAUGGAUCCGCGCUGCAUUAGCUAGUUGGUAAGGUAACGGCUUACCAAGGCAACGAAGCAUAGCCGACCUGAGAGGGUGAUCGGCCACACUGGAACUGAGACACGGUCCAGACUCCUACGGGAGGCAGCAGUAGGGAAUCUGCCGCAAUGGGCGAAAGCCUGACGGAGCAACGCCGCGUGAGUGAUGAAGGUCUUCGGAUCGUAAAACUCUGUUAUUAGGGAAGAACAUAUGUGUAAGUAACUGUGCACAGCUUGACGGUACCUAAUCAGAAAGCCACGGCUAACUACGUG